UUAGAUCAUAUUUGUAUGGAAUGGGAUCGUUUGCCUACGUUUGCCGCUAGGGGCGCUGUUCCAACUGCAUACAAAAUUGGGUUA
rnacentral:pre_miRNA from 1 species